GGAAGGCAAAGAGUGUAACCUCACGGAUCCAAACAUGCUUUCUCGCGUAUUUUCGCUUCCUAGACGCCAACCUGAGAUAUCCGAUGUCUGUUUACCUUCUGCCCCCCUUCAUCACGGCGCCCGUCUCGUCUAGAGAGACCACACGUAUGGAUGUCAGCUGGAUCACGAAAAGACUGUCGCGAUUGAGUCAAGAACGCCAGGAUUUUUACCUGUGGACGUGUUCAGGAAUAACAACGGUGUAUUCCAUUUUAUGGAGAACAUUAGAAUUGUGUGUAUCUAGACGUAUCCUGGUUCUUACUGUUCAGGUGGCUCACACGGCCAGAGCCUCUCUUUGGACCGUUGGGUUUGGUCGGGUGUACCAGCUUUUGAGAACGCAUAUCGGCGUCAACGCACAAGGCGAAGGAGUGUGCAGGGAAAAGAAUCCCUUCGUUCGUUCGCCUAGCAGCAGGGUCGUUACCACCACGCUGCCAGCACCCUCCUGGGCGCCCUUAAUAUGCAUAAGCUGGACUGGUUAAGCCGAGUCAACCAAGACAAAGAAAGCAGAUGGGGAAACGUAGACAAGCACUGUUACUCCCGAAGGGGAUUCGGGAUUUGAAGCGGACGUCAACAGCGGCAGCAAGUGAAUAAACACUCGCGGACAGUACUCGAGUUCACGUGCACCACGCAGCUGUGACCGGGGUUUCGACUGGUCGAGGUUUCCAGAGAAGAAUUCACCUAGUAAAACGCCACUCCAAGAUUAUCCUUCUCUGCGGAAAUGUGCAUUAUGCCGUACUACACGCCGUAACACUAGAACGUCUCGUACGCCCUCGAACUACACAAAUUCCAGUCGCCAGCGACGAAAGGAAAGGUGGCUCCGCAUUUUACGCCUAACGUGUUCGUGCCGUUUCUACCCGGCAGAGGAAAUUCCUUUCGGAGUGUUCAGCCUGGAAGCGCAUGUUGUGUGUGCUGCACUCUUUGCAUUGUCUGAAACUGUACGACUUGUGUACCUUGAGCAGCCUUGCCACAGGCGCCACUGUGAUGCAGCAGGCUGGAGGCGCUUGGGAAGCGUCGAGAACGCGGAAUCGAACAGCAGCUGAGUUUGGCCUCCCGAGAGAUGAUGGUUUGGUUUCAAAACAGUUCACACGUUAUGAAAGCUUCUGGCUAUUCGGCAAACAACACGUGUUGAAUAUCGAACCUGACAAUACUUCGCGAUACCGCCCGUCCAGUAUGCCAGAAUGCAUCUACCUUUGUUUCCGUCUAUCGGCAAUAUGUUGUGUACCGGUACUCGCUAUAUCUGUUUAGCAUAUCUAUUUCUGUCAACGGUCAACCGGUCUUCCUCAUGACUGUAGAGAACUUUGCUUUAACCAAAUC
rnacentral:lncRNA from 1 species